AACGAACGCUGGCGGCAGGCCUAACACAUGCAAGUCGAACGCUCCGCAAGGAGAGUGGCAGACGGGUGAGUAACACGUGGGAAUCUUCCUAUCGGUGCGGAAUAGCUCAGGGAAACUUGAGGUAAUACCGCAUACGCCCUCAGGGGGAAAGAUUUAUCGCCGAUAGAUGAGCCCGCGUCUGAUUAGCUAGUUGGUGGGGUAAUGGCCCACCAAGGCGACGAUCAGUAGCUGGUCUGAGAGGAUGACCAGCCACACUGGGACUGAGACACGGCCCAGACUCCUACGGGAGGCAGCAGUGGGGAAUAUUGGACAAUGGGCGCAAGCCUGAUCCAGCCAUGCCGCGUGAGUGACGAAGGUCUUCGGAUUGUAAAGCUCUUUUGCCAGGGACGAUAAUGACGGUACCUGGAGAAUAAGCCCCGGCUAACUUCGUGCCAGCAGCCGCCGCCGUAA
rnacentral:rRNA from 1 species